rnacentral:rRNA from 1 species
UACGGGGGGGGCAAGCGUUGUUCGGAAUUACUGGGCGUAAAGGGCUCGUAGGUGGCCAACUAAGUCAGACGUGAAAUCCCUCGGCUUAACCGGGGAACUGCGCCUGAUACUGGAUGGCUUGAGUUCGGGAGAGGGAUGCGGAAUUCCAGGUGUAGCGGUGAAAUGCGUAGAUAUCUGGAGGAACACCGGUGGCGAAGGCGGCAUCCUGGACCGGCAUUGACGCUGAGGAGCGAAAGCUAGGGGAGCAAACGGG